rnacentral:rRNA from 1 species
AGAAUCAACGCUGGCGGCGUGCCUCAGACAUGCAAGUCGAACGCGAAAGUCCCCUUCGGGGGACAAGUAGAGUGGCGCACGGGUGAGUAACACGUAGGUAAUCUACCUUUGGAUGGGGAAUAACGACCGGAAACGGUUGCUAAUACCGCAUGAUGCAGCGGCACCUAAUGGUGACAGUUGUUAAAGCGGGGGAUCGAAAGACCUCGCGUCUGAAGAGGAGCCUGCGGCGGAUUAGCUAGUUGGUAAGGUAAUGGCUUACCAAGGCUACGAUCC